rnacentral:rRNA from 1 species
CCUACGGGUGGCAGCAGUGGGGAAUAUUGCACAAUGGGGGAAACUCUGAUGCAGCAACGCCGCGUGAAGGAAGACGGUUUUCGGAUCGUAAACCUCUGUUCUUAGUGAAGAAUAAUGACGGUAGCUAAGGAGCAAGCCACGGCUAACUACGUGCCAGCAGCCGCGGUAAGCUGUAGGUGGCAAGCGUUGUCCGGACUUACUGGGUGUAAAGGGAGCGCAGGCGUUAAGCCAAGUCAGCUGUGAAAACUACGGGCUUAACUUGUUGGCGGCAGUGGAACCUGGUUGUCUUGAGUGAAGUAGAGGUUAGCGGAAUUCCGAGUGUAGCGGUGAAAUGCGUAGAUAUUCGGAGGAACACCAGUGGCGAAGGCGGCCAACUGGGCUUUAACUGACGCUGAGGCUCGAAAGUGUGGGGAGCAAACAGGAGUAGAUACCCGGGUAGUC